AUGAACCGCGUGCACCUGGUCACCCAAAUGGAACUUGUGCACCUGGUCACCCAAAUGGAACUUGUGCACCUGGUCACCCAAAAGGAACGUGUGCACCUGGUCACCCAAAGACCGGCGUGCACCUGGUCACCCAAAAGGACCGUGUGCACCUGGUCACCCAAAGGCCGGCGUGCACCUGGUCACCCAAAAGGACCGUGUGCACCUGGUCACCCAAAACGGCCCAUGUGCACCUGGUCACCCAAAACGGCCCAUGUGCACCUGGUCACCCAAAACGGCCCAUGUGCACCUGGGAACCCAAACGGCCCAUGUGCACCUGGUCACCCAAAGGCCGGCGUGCACCUGGUCACCCAAAAGGACCGUGUGCACCUGGUCACCCAAAGGACCAUGUGCACCUGGUCACCCAAAACGGCCCAUGUGCACCUGGUCACCCAAAACGGCCCAUGUGCACCUGGGAACCCAAACGGCCCAUGUGCACCUGGUCACCCAAAGGCCGGCGUGCACCUGGUCACCCAAAGGCCGGCGUGCACCUGGUCACCCAAAAGGACCGUGUGCACCUGGUCACCCAAAACGGCCCAUGUGCACCUGGUCACCCAAAACGGCCCAUGUGCACCUGGGAACCCAAACGGCCCAUGUGCACCUGGUCACCCAAAGGCCGGCGUGCACCUGGUCACCCAAAAGGACCGUGUGCACCUGGUCACCCAAAGGACCAUGUGCACCUGGUCACCCAAAACGGCCCAUGUGCACCUGGUCACCCAAAACGGCCCAUGUGCACCUGGGAACCCAAACGGCCCAUGUGCACCUGGUCACCCAAAGGCCGGCGUGCACCUGGUCACCCAAAGGCCGGCGUGCACCUGGUCACCCAAAAGGACCGUGUGCACCUGGUCACCCAAAACGGCCCAUGUGCACCUGGUCACCCAAAACGGCCCAUGUGCACCUGGGAACCCAAACGGCCCAUGUGCACCUGGUCACCCAAAGGCCGGCGUGCACCUGGUCACCCAAAGGCCGGCGUGCACCUGGUCACCCAAAACGGCCCAUGUGCACCUGGGAACCCAAACGGCCCAUGUGCACCUGGUCACCCAAAGGCCGGCGUGCACCUGGUCACCCAAACGGCCCAUGUGCACCUGGUCACCCAAAAGACCCGUGUGCACCUGGUCACCCAAACGGCCCAUGUGCACCUGGUCACCCAAAAGACCCGUGUGCACCUGGUCACCCAAACGGCCCAUGUGCACCUGGUCACCCAAAAGACCCGUGUGCACCUGGUCACCCAAACGGCCCAUGUGCACCUGGUCACCCAAAGGCCGGCGUGCACCUGGUCACCCAAAACGGCCCAUGUGCACCUGGGAACCCAAACGGCCCAUGUGCACCUGGUCACCCAAAGGCCGGCGUGCACCUGGUCACCCAAACGGCCCAUGUGCACCUGGUCACCCAAAAGACCCGUGUGCACCUGGUCACCCAAACGGCCCAUGUGCACCUGGUCACCCAAAAGACCCGUGUGCACCUGGUCACCCAAACGGCCCAUGUGCACCUGGUCACCCAAAAGACCCGUGUGCACCUGGUCACCCAAACGGCCCAUGUGCACCUGGUCACCCAAAAGACCCGUGUGCACCUGGUCACCCAAACGGCCCAUGUGCACCUGGUCACCCAAAAAUUAUAAAACGGUUUUAA
rnacentral:lncRNA from 1 species